UACGAAGGGGGCUAGCGUUGCUCGGAAUCACUGGGCGUAAAGCGCCCGUAGGCGGAUUGCUAAGUCAGGGGUGAAAUCCUGGAGCUCAACUCCAGAACUGCCUUUGAUACUGGCGACCUUGAGUCCGGGAGAGGUGAGUGGAACUGCGAGUGUAGAGGUGAAAUUCGUAGAUAUUCGCAAGAACACCAGUGGCGAAGGCGGCUCACUGGCCCGGUACUGACGCUGAGGUGCGAAAGCGUGGGGAGCAAACAGG
rnacentral:rRNA from 1 species